rnacentral:tRNA from 1 species
ACUUUAAUAGCUUAUCUAGAGUAUAAUAUUGAAGAUAUUAAGGAAAUAAAAUAUUUUAAAGUA